AGCUACUUGGCGCAGUGGAAGCGCGCCGGGCUCAUAACCCGGAGGACGCUGGAUCGAAACCAGCAGUAGCUA
rnacentral:tRNA from 1 species